CAUAUGCAGUAUACCAUUAAAGAGUGUCUCGAAACAGACAUAGGUAAAGCAACACGUGGCCAAAUUGGUCACAUCGAGUAAUCCCGCUGUUGGUUGUAGGUGGCGAGCACAUUACGCGAGUACACGGGCCUAGCGGAGAGCACAGCGCUGCGCGCGCUGACGGCGGCGUGUUGUCGCGCCGCGUGGAGACUGGUGCUGGCCGCGCCGCAGCUCCGACUCGACACCGACUUCACCGCCACACGCUUCGACCCCGAGAAGCACGUGGUGUGGGUGGCGGGCGCGGGGCGCGCGGCGGCGGCGGGCGGCGCGCGCGGGCAGCCCAUCCGGAGCUUCGUGUGGCCCGCGCUGCUCGACCACCAGCGCGUGCUGUUCCGCGCCGUCGUGCUGGUGUGACCUGACCGGUGCGCGCCCCACACCGCCACGCCCCAGGCCAUCCACGAACACGCGUACUUUGACUCAUAUUGUCAUCUUAUUAAAGGUUACGUACGACAAGUCUGCGCGUCAUCCUGGAUGACACGAACUAUACACAGGCUACUUCGAGGUUCUUGCCAUUGUUUGAGCGGCAACUCUCGACGUCCAGAGCUGUCACAAUUGAGGCUGCCUUAUCUUACGAAAGGCGCUAGGAACCUCUGAAUAUUGUCGCUGAGACAACGUACAAAAUGGUACUGAAAUUAAAUUCGUUGACCUUACAUCGUGUAAGUAAAUGCACAUGAACAGUGUGUUGAGAACAAUGUAAACGAUCACACGGCGAGCUUUUUUGAAUCCGUUCGUUUUAGGUAAAAGCUCUAAGCGAGGAUGAGGAGGAGGAGGAUUUAGCUCAAAUACGAGUGCCUUGACCAAAUAGUUACAACAUUUUAAAUAAGAAUCUUAUAAGAUGAUUUCUUAUAAUAAAACUCAUGUUUAAUUUAGUUACAUAUUUAUUUAGUUUUAAGUGUACAUUGUUAUUUUAAGAACAAUAAAAAAUAUUCGUUAGAA